rnacentral:rRNA from 1 species
UGGGGAAUUUUGGACAAUGGGGGAAACCCUGAUCCAGCCAUCCCGCGUGUGCGAUGAAGGCCUUCGGGUUGUAAAGCACUUUUGGCAGGAAAGAAACGUCAUGGGUUAAUACCCCGUGAAACUGACGGUACCUGCAGAAUAAGCACCGGCUAACUACGUGCCAGCAGCCGCGGUAAUACGUAGGGUGCAAGCGUUAAUCGGAAUUACUGGGCGUAAAGCGUGCGCAGGCGGUUCGGAAAGAAAGAUGUGAAAUCCCAGAGCUCAACUUUGGAACUGCAUUUUUAACUACCGGGCUAGAGUGUGUCAGAGGGAGGUGGAAUUCCGCGUGUAUCAGUGGCAUGCGUAGAUAUGCGGAGGAACACCGAUGGCGAAGGCAGCCUCCUGGGAUAACACUGACGCUCAUGCACGAAAGCGUGGGGAGCAAACAGG